AAACAAGACGCUGAUUGGUCGCCGUGAAUCUCCUCGCUCUCUCCUGUCACCGCACUCUGAACACGCCCCCUCCGUGACGUCACUGGCUGCCCAGGUACCUGGAGCAGGUGCCAGGCUGGUGGCAGUCAGCUGCAGAAUGCUGGAUAUCAUUGACGGGCUGUACCCGGCACUGGGGCUCCUGCUGCUCCUCCUGGCAGGGCUUGUGGCUAGAAGUUACCUGUCUAGGAGCAGCCAGAGGCUUCCUGCACCUCCCUGUAUCUCAGGCUGGAUACCAUGGCUGGGGGCUGCGCUAGAGAUGGGCAAAUCACCCCUGGAGUAUAUAGAACAAGCCAGACUGAAGCAUGGCCCGGUUUUUACAGUGAUGGCGGCCGGGAACAGACUGACCUUUGUGAGCGGAGAUGAAGCGGUGUCUAAGUUCUUCACAUCCAAACAGGUGGAUUUCCAACAUGCUGUGCAGAAGCCGGUCCAGUACACAGCUUCUAUCGAGAAGAAAAACUUCUACAAGUCGCACAGCGAUAUCCACGAUAUGAUUAAGCUGCGGUUGUCACAGAACAGACUGAAUCCCUACAUCCCCCGUAUGUGCAAGGAGUUCAACGUACAACUGGAACAGCUGGAGGCGCAGGGCACAGAUGAUCUCUAUGACCUGAUAAGACGUGUCAUGUAUCCAGCCGUGGUGGACAACCUGUUUGGGAAAGGGAUGUGUCCUACCAGUCGGGACACCAUAAAAGAAUUUGAGUCACAUUUCCGGAAGUUCGAUGAAGGUUUUGAGCACGGAUCACAGAUACCAGAGUGGCUUCUGAGAGAUUGGUCCCAUUCCAAACAAUGGCUGCUGAAAUUAUUUAAAGACAUAGUAGCCAAAGCCGAGCAAAAUAAACCAACGGAAGACAGUGGUAAGACCUUGUUACAUCAUCUCUUGGAUACUCUCAAGGGCAAUUCCACCUACAACAACAGCUUGUUACUGCUGUGGGCGUCACUGGCGAAUGCCAACCCGAUCACAUUUUGGGCCCUUGCGUUUAUGAUCUCGGAGCCGGAAGUCUACAGGAAGGCUAUGAGUGAAAUCAUAUCAGUGUUUUGUGACGCAGGUAAACAACCGCCGAAUAUAUCAGAAGGCGAACUGGCAAAACUUCCGUAUAUCAAAUCCUGCAUCCUUGAGGCCAUACGGCUUAGGUCGCCGGGGGCCAUUACCAGGAAGGUCCUUCAGCCCCUGAAAGUUUACGAUUAUGAGAUUCCUGCUGGUGACUUGUUAAUGUUAUCUCCAUAUUGGCUACACCGGGACCCAAAACACUUUCCAGAACCACAUAUGUUCAAACCGGAACGUUGGAAAAGGGCAAAUUUAGAGAAGAAUGUUUUCCUAGAUGGUUUUGUAGCCUUUGGCGGAGGAAAGUUCCAGUGCCCAGGAAGGUGGUUUGCACUCAUGGAAAUCCAAAUGCUGCUUGUCCUCAUGCUCUACAAGUAUGAAUUCCAGCUCUUGGAUCCUGUUCCUAAGCAGUUGACUGGUGAAAGUGUAUUGGACAGGCUGUGCUGGGCUUCUGAUAAACACAGUACAGUACCAUAAUUGCCAUGUGGAGGGAGAAGGCCAUUACUGAUGCACUGGCUUUGCAAUGUGCUAUGUAAGCAGGAAUGAAAGCAACAGCAGCAGCACAGUAAGGAAUGGAUUACCCUAAGCACCGAACUGCUGCUGAAGACAGAGCUACAAACUAAAGAAGGGGGAGAGGAAGAUCAUAUACAGGAGAGCAAUCUACACCUAGUAGGAACGCAGCAACCAGAUGGGCCUUGUCGUGUACGGUUCAAGCUAAGGGAAUGAAGAUAAAAUCUCAUCAUAUGAGGACUCCUGCCUAGAACACCGUCC